CUACAUUUGAGAGGGUGGGCCUAUUUGGAUGAACCGAUUCACUACAAUGAAUCGGAUUUACGUCACACAUGUGAAAGGGAGAGAACCGUUUAGGAGAGCGCGUUUGAUCGCACAACCGGUUUCAUAAAGUACCUCUUUAUUGUUAAAAAUACGCAGUUAUGAAAAUAACAGAGCUACUGUCACGCUACUGAAACAUGUGUGGCAGGCUCUCCAGACCAGGACGAGUGGUGGAGGUCCUCAGCACCACUCUGCCAUUUGCCAUAGGACUAUCUGACCGGAAUUUCCACAUCCACUGCAAUUUUGUGAUGACCCCUGCACUUCAAAGCUUAUGUAUGCAUAUACAGUGUACCAAGUAAGACAACAUACAUAUAUCAGAUGAUCUGAAUCAGGGGUGUCCAGUGCCUGUUUUUUCUAAUUUUUUUGUAACAAAAGUUUUAAUAUUAUGUUGUUACUGUCAUAUGACAACAUAAGAC
rnacentral:lncRNA from 1 species